rnacentral:rRNA from 1 species
AGUGAACGCUGGCGGUAGGCCUAACACAUGCAAGUCGAACGGCAGCACAGUAAGAGCUUGCUCUUCCGGGUGGCGAGUGGCGGACGGGUGAGGAAUACAUCGGAAUCUACUUUUUCGUGGGGGAUAACGUAGGGAAACUUACGCUAAUACCGCAUACGACCUACGGGUGAAAGCAGGGGAUCUUCGGACCUUGCGCGAUUGAAUGAGCCGAUGUCGGAUUAGCUAGUUGGCGGGGUAAAGACCCACCAAGGCGACGAUCCGUAGCUGGUCUGAGAGGAUGAUCGGCCACACUGGAGCUGAGACACGGUCCAGACUCCUACGGGAGGCAGCAGUGGGGAAUAUUGGACAAUGGGCGCAAGCCUGAUCCAGCCAUACCGCGUGGGUGAAGAAGGCCUUCGGGUUGUAAAGCCCUUUUGUUGGGAAAGAAAAGCAGCAGGUUAAUACCCCGCUGUUCUGACGGUACCCAAAGAAUAAGCACCGGCUAACUUCGUG